CAGAUCACAAUGUCCAGCUCCACCACAGGAUUAAAUGUAGGAAUUUAGGACCAGAUGCCUGAAGGACAUCAAAUGCUCAUCAUCCAGCAGGACAUUUCCAUGCACUCAUUUAUGAAAUUACAUCAUGGCGGUAAAACAGGAGCAAAGACAUCAUCAGUAAGUAUUAUCCAUGGAUUUGAUUUGGUUUGUGUCUCUCAAAAACACCCAUCCUUUUUUAAAAACGCAAACCAACAUUUUGAAAAGGUGGUUAAAAUAUGAAAAUGAACUUUAAGUGGACGUCCUAACUUUAGCACUUAUGAAUAGCCAUAAACGACCAAACACUGGCACGUUUUCCCACAUUUGUUUGUUGCCUCUGAAGUUGGUUUGGCACACACUCAGAAUUCCUCAGUGGCUCUUUUCAGAGAGACAUUAGCAAACUAUCCAAUCGUUUUGCUUCACUAAAACUGCAGUGAUGAUUAACAACGGUAAAGUUUCACCUCCUCUGAAUAAAAAAUCUAAAACAAAGGUACUUUAUCCCUAUAGUCACUCUCUUGAUUUCUGUUAAUGAGUUGCUUCUACUGUUUCAGCUUGUGUUCUCCAGCCAGUGGUUACGUCACGGGUCUCACCUCUGACUUUUGA